rnacentral:rRNA from 1 species
AGAGUUUGAUCCUGGCUCAGAACGAACGCUUGCUGCAUGCUUUAUACAUGCAAGUCGAACGGAGGCCCUAGCUUGCUAGGUGUCCUUAGUGGCGCACGGGUGAGUAACACGUGGGAACAUACCUUAUAGUACGGAAUAACUGCGGGAAACUGUAGCUAAUACCGUAUACUCCAGUAAUGGGAAAGAUUUAUCGCUAUAAGAUUGGCCCGCGCAAGAUUAGCUUGUUGGUGAGGUAAAAGCUCACCAAGGCUUCGAUCUUUAGCUGGUUUGAGAGGACGAUCAGCCACACUGGGACUGAGACACGGCCCAGACUCCUACGGGAGGCAGCAGUAGGGAAUAUUGGACAAUGGGGGCAACCCUGAUCCAGCAAUGCAGCGUGAGUGACGAAGGCCUUAGGGUUGUAAAACUCUUUCAUCGGUGAGGAUAAUGACAGUAGCCGAAGAAGAAGGACCGGCUAAUUCCGUGCCAGCAGCCGCGGUAAUACGGAAGGUCCUAGCGUUGUUCGGAAUUACUGGGCGUAAAGCGCACGUAGGCGGAACAGAAAGUUAGAAGUGAAAUCCCUGGGCUCAACCUAGGAAUUGCUUUUAAAACUUCUGUUCUGGAAUUCACGAGAGGAAAAUGGAAUUUCCAGUGUAGAGGUGAAAUUCGUAGAUAUUGGAAGGAACACCAGUGGCGAAAGCGAUUUUCUGGACUGAUAUUGACGCUGAGAUGCGAAGGCAUGGGUAGCAAACGGGAUUAGAUACCCCGGUAGUCCAUGCAGUAAACGAUGGGUGCUAGUCGUCGGACUUUUGUUCGGUGUCGUAGCUAACGCGUUAAGCACCCCCGCCCUGGGGGAGUACGGUCGCAGAUUAAAACUCAAAUAAAUUGACCGGGGACCCGCACCAAGCAGUUGGAGCAUGUUGGGUUUUAUUUCGAACGCCACCGCGCAGAAAACCUUACACACCGCUUUGACAUGGAAAGUACCGCUUACCGACAGUAGCUUCAGUUCGGCUGGGCGUUUCUCCACAGGUGCUGCAUGGGUGUCCUUCAGCCUCUUGUCUCUUGGGAGUAUGUGUGUGUAUAGUUCCGCACCAAUGCCACACCUUAUCGGUUAGUAUACUUACAGUUCCGCCUGGAGAACUCUAGGAACAUGCCGUGGAACGGAAAAAGUGCGGAUAAGUUCAGGUCUCAUGACCCCUUAGACACACCUUGGG